UCCUAAGGCAACAGCCUGGACGCUGGAACAAGUGAAGGGGUGGAAUGGGGGGAACAGAAUGGAGGAGAGUAGAAGCAGGCAGUCGGGUUCAGGAUAUCUUAGGGGGACUCUGCCUGAGGCACUGUGGAGAGUCCAGAAGUCCCAUCUGUAAUUGAGGGACAAAGAUUGAGGGAACCAGAGGGGGACACAGGCUCCAGUAGCAGAGAGGGAGACCAGCAGCCCCAGAAGGAGCAGGGAAACCAGGAGAGGAGAUGCAGUAGACAGGGAGGCAGGCGGCUGGAUACAGAUAGUGGCUGGGAGAUUUUGCUUGCUCUGGUGCCUGCACCUUUCAGAUGCUUGAGGCUCCUCGUGAAGGUAACAACUAUAACUACAAUAAGGAAUAAGGGUGACUAAUAUUUAUUGAGCACUUAGUGUGUGCUAGGCAGUGCACUAAGCACUUACAGGUAUCAAUGUGUUCUAUCUCCACUUCAUUUCUAUUUAUUUAUUUCUUUAUUUUUCCUAACUGCUAGGCUAUAUAGGAUCUAUUUAUUUAUUAAUUCACUCACUGAUUCAUUCAUU
rnacentral:lncRNA from 10 species